rnacentral:rRNA from 1 species
ACGGAGGGUGCGAGCGUUAUUCGGAAUUACUGGGCGUAAAGCGCGUGCAGGCGGGGCGGUAAGUCUGAGGUGAAAGGCCAGGGCUUAACCCGGGAAGGGCUUUGGAAACUGUCUUUCUUGAGUACUGGAGAGGAAGGGGGAAUUCCCGGUGUAGAGGUGAAAUGCGUAGAGAUCGGGAGGAAUACCAGUGGCGAAGGCGCCCUUCUGGACGGUUACUGACGCUGAGACGCGAAAGCGUGGGGAGCAAACAG